rnacentral:rRNA from 1 species
AACGCGAAGAACCUUACCUGGGCUCGAAAUGCUGUGGACCAGCUUAUGAAAGUAGGCCUUCCCGCAAGGGACCGCAGUAUAGGUGCUGCAUGGCUGUCGUCAGCUCGUGUCGUGAGAUGUUGGGUUAAGUCCCGCAACGAGCGCAACCCUUGUCCUUAGUUGCCAGCGAGUAAUGUCGGGAACUCUAAGGAGACUGCCGGUGACAAACCGGAGGAAGGUGGGGAUGACGUCAAGUCCUCAUGGCCCUUACGGCCAGGGCUACACACGUACUACAAUGGUCGGUACAGAGGGUUGCAAUACCGCGAGGUGGAGCCAAUCCCAGAAAGCCGAUCCCAGUCCGGAUCGAAGUCUGCAACUCGACUUCGUGAAGUCGGAAUCGCUAGUAAUCGCGGAUCAGCUAUGCCGCGGUGAAUACGUUCCCGGGCCUUGUACACACCGCUAGUC